AAAUGACGGUACCUGACUAAGAAGCCCCGGCUAACUACGUGCCAGCAGCCGCGGUAAUACGUAGGGGGCAAGCGUUAUCCGGAUUUACUGGGUGUAAAGGGAGCGCAGACGGCACUGCAAGUCUGAAGUGAAAGCCCGGGGCUCAACCCCGGGACUGCUUUGGAAACUGUAGAGCUAGAGUGCUGGAGAGGCAAGCGGAAUUCCUAGUGUAGCGGUGAAAUGCGUAGAUAUUAGGAAGAACACCAGUGGCGAAGGCGGCUUGCUGGACAGUAACUGACGUUCAGGCUCGAAAGCGUGGGGAGCAAACAGGAUUAGAUACCCUGGUAGUCCACGCUGUAAACGAUGAAUACUAGGUGUUGGUGGGCAAAGCCCAUCGGUGCCGCCGCAAACGCAAUAAGUAUUCCACCUGGGGAGUACGUUCGCA
rnacentral:rRNA from 1 species